GAUAGGGCCUCUAGAGGAAGAUGCUACACAACUUGAACUUGAUAGAAAGCCAGAAAGCAGCCAGCCCUUUGAGGAAGAGAUUUUACUUUGCAUGCCAGUGUAAACUCACUCACUGCUCUGUCAGGGUGUCCAUGUGGCUGAACUGUUUCCAGGAAAAACCUGCAGAAAGGAGCUUCCUGUUUCCUCACAGCUCGGACAUGAAGCCCACCCUCAUCUCAGUGCUUGUGAUGAUAUUCACACUCAGAGGAACAAGAGCCCAGACAGUGACUCAGCCUGAGGACCACAUCUCCGUCUUUCAAGGGUCCCCAGUGCAGGUGAAGUGCAACUACUCAUAUUCUGGGAGUCCUGUGCUCUUCUGGUAUGUACACUACCCCAAACAACACCUCCAGUUACUCCUGAGACACACCUCAAGAGAGAGUAUCAGAGGUUUCACGGCUGACCUCAACAAGGGUGAGGCAUCCUUCCAUCUGAAAAAACUAUCAGCUCAAGAGGAAGACUCAGCGGUGUAUUACUGUGCUCUGAGGGACACAGUAACUGGUUUUACAAAGGAAGCAGAGCACAAACCCCUUAAGAGUUACUGAAAAUAUUUCUAAGUUCCCUAUUUGGCCACAGUGGGGCAUUCUCUCUCUAGAGACUGACACUGAGUUUAUCUCUCAGAUACAGUUGCCAUCAGUUGUCAGUUAGCUAUAGAUUAAUCUCAAAAAUUUGUUCAAGGAAAUUCUCAUUACCUACAAUGCCUAAAUUAAUUUUUAAAAUAGUAAGUGCAUUUAUUCUAUAGAUUAGUACCUGGCAAAAUACUUUUGAAAUAAAACUAUGUAAUGGCAUAAAAAUCCUUUUCUUGGCCCAGAGGGGCUCCCCAGGCUUAA